UCCAUUUUGUCUCCCUCUGGCUUUUCAAGAUUUCCCCCCUCCCCCAUUUUUUCCUUCCUCUCACCUCUCUCCUCUUUCCGCUCGCCCCCAACUCGGAGAACAGCCACCUCAUUUUUUUAGAGUUUUCCCCAUUUUUCCCUCUCCAGGGGCUUCCUCUCACACGGUCGGCACCUUACCUUGAAAUCUUCCCAUUAUUUUCCUUUUCUCUUCUCCCCCCGAACUCCCACACGCCGGCCUCGAGAUUUAUUUUAUUUAUUUAUUUUUCUUUCUUCCUUCCUCCCUUACAGCACUCCGCCAUACCUCCCUUCCAGCAGCAUGACCCUAACGCCUACUCCCGCUGGCGCCUUUUCCGGCGUCCUUCCAUCCCCAUUUUCUUCCUCCCAUUUUAUUUUAAUUUUUAUUUUAUUUUAUUUUGCUUCCUAAAACCCGUCCACCCUCACUGUCGUCGGUAGGGCCACCGCCGGCGAGCUAUUGCCGGCCGGCGACCCCCUUCCCAUCUCAUCCGUUUCCCAUUAUUAUUAUUCAUUUUUCUCGAUUUGAUUAUAAUAGUAAUUGUUGUUUGUGAUAUUUGAAUUGUUGAAAUAAUAUGAAAUUUGGGGUUAAUUUAUUGUUGGUAGAUUAAUAUGCAAUUUGGUUUAAUUUAUUGUUAGUGAAUUAAUUUGAAAUUUGUUAAUUUGGGUUUGUGGGUAUAUUGUAUUUGGUGAUUAACUUGGAGGAUAUUUGGAUUAUAUCAAUUGCAUAUUGUUUAUUUGGGCUUUGGUCUACUGUUAAGUUGUUAUUUGUUUGGGCUUAUUAGAUUGGGUUUGAAAUGUUAUUUCUCUUGACCAUGUAUUUUUUUUAUGUGGACUUGUUAAUUGAUGUGAAUUUUGGGGCCUAUAAUGUGGGUGAGAUUUGUUGGAUUAUUUGAAUAUUUGAUAUGGGCUUGGCCCAUUUGAAUUGUUUAAUUUGGACAUGAGACAAUUAUAGUGUAUAUUAAACUAGGCGUAGAUUAUGAAAUAUUAAAUUUAGGUCUAGUAGAAUUUAUUUUAAUUUAUCCAAUUUUAGGUUUGGUUGAUUGUGUUUGUAUUUUUGGUUAUUAAUUUGGAUGUUCUGGGUUAAGACAUAUAGUAAUUUGGGCUCAUUUUAAUUGACGAAAUUUAUGGGACUAAUUUGAAAUUGGAAUUUGGGUUUGAAUAUUUGUUUGGGAUUUUAUACAUCUCUGGAUAUUUACAUUUGUGCUUUUUUUUUUUUUUUUUUUUGCAUGGACCAUUCUGCAAUUUUGUUGACCGAGUACGAAUCUAUGACACGUGGAGCACAGAAUUUCAUAGAAGAAAGUGAGACUCGGAAAGCUGUAGAAAGACAUUAAGUUUUUUGUAAGCUUGUUUAGGUACAUAUUUUAUUUCUCACUCUUAUUUAAUUUUAUUUCUGUAAAUAUUUAUCUGUGUAUAUUUACUUGUGUGUACAAAAUUGAACAUCGAACAAACUAGAAAUUUUGUUUAAAUGAGAGGAAGAAUUCAGUAAAUGUGUUUUGAUAAAACAAUAAUUUUAAAAUAUUAUUUUUAAUAAAAGAAUUUUGUUUUAUUUAUAAAAAUUUAGAAAAAUGCAUUUAGAAAAAUCCAAAGGAAUUGUUUUUAAUAGAAUUUGAAAAAUUGUUUUUAAUAAAAUUGUCUAAAAAUUUCUUUGUUUAAUAAAAAUUGUCCAAAAAUUGUUUUGUAAAUAAAGUUGUCCCAAAAAAAUAAUUUUUAAUAAAAUUGUCCGAAAAAUGUGUUUUUAAAUAAAUUCUUUUUCCUUAAUUAAAAUAUGAUUAGAAGUAAUUUUUAGAAAUAAGAGAUUGAAUUUUUUUUCUUUUUAAUUAAAAAUUCUUUUGCAAAUAAAGUUACUUUUUUUUAAUAAUUUGUACAAAUUACUUUUCUUAAAUAAAAACAAAUUGAAAUACUUUUAUAAAUAAAAUUAUAAAAAUUCAUUCUUUUCUAUUAAAAGCAAGUAAAAAUAAUUUUUUUAGAAAAAUUGAAAUUUUGUAAUAAAUUCUUUUAAUACAAUAAAUGUAAAUAACUUUUUUGAAAAUUGAAUACAAAUGAAAUUAAGAAAAUAAAUUGAUUCUUUUAUGUAAAUAAAUAAAUUGAAAUUAUUAAUUCAAAAUCAUUUUUAAUAAAAUCCUUUGAAAUUUCUUGAAAANNNNNNNNNNNNNNNNNNNNNNNNNNNNNNNNNNNNNNNNNNNNNNNNNNNNNNNNNNNNNNNNNNNNNNNNNNNNNNNNNNNNNNNNNNNNNNNNNNNNAAAUCCUUUGAAAUUUCUUGAAAACUAUUUUUUUAAUAUCUUUUUUUAUUUAGUUCAAUAAAUCAUUUUGCAUAAUUCUCUUAUUAUUUAUUUUGUGUAUUUUUGUAAUUGGAUUUCAUCAUUAUUUUUGUAUAUAUUGGUUUUCACCAUGAUUUGUAUAUACUCAUUUGCAUGAUUAUUUUUUUUGUAUCCAUAAUUAACCAAUUAAUUGCCACAAUUCCCUCAAUUAGUUUAGUAGAGACCGUAUGUAUACAGGCUUAGAGAGAUGCUACGGCUCACUACCGUACCUUCCCAAUAAUUAACCUGACUCCGAACCCAUAUUCUGUUUUUGCAUACAUGUCUUUUCCAAAUAAGGAGUCACAUAGGGUUUUCUUUUCUUAUUUUGUUUUCCCUUUUAAAAAAAAAUUAAAAUAAGUGACGAUUCCAAGUCUUUUCUAAAAAUCAAUUUUCACCAAAUAAAUAAAACAAAAAGCAAGUUUCACUUUCGAGUGGGAACGCAUCGAGUGAAAUCUGGGGUCCACACAUACUCAAGAACAUUAAAAACAAGUUUUAAAACAUUUCAAGUUCCAAACAAAUUUUUGUUCUAUAAAACAUUAAAAAGCAAUUUUAAAAUUUUAUUUUAAAAAACUGUUUUUUAAAACUAUUUUAGAAGACGAUUACUAAAAAGGGCCUUAAUAACAUCUCUUGGAUUUGUUUGGGUUAUAUUUGGUUCCCGAAAACAUUAAGAAAAAAAAAAUUAAGGAAAAUGAUUCUCGUGUUAGGUUUCAAUAUGAAAAAUAAUACAAAUUUUUGGUUUCAUAUGGAAGAUGAGUAAAUUACCAGGUGGGCGUUGGGAUUAAUCAUUUAAAAUAAAAAAAAUUUGUAGCUACAAUUGCAUAAACAUGAAUAGCAUGAUUCAUUGCUUGAUUUCUUACACCAUAAAUCAUUGCUAUACAUUUUACACAGUUUUGGAGAGUAGUGGAAAAACUAGUCGAAAAUUAAACAAGCAGUUGGAUACAGAGAAUCUUGGAGAAGGGCAAGGUAUUAACGAUCAUCAUGGCCAGUGUAGGAUCUACUUGAUCUAAGCCUCUAAGCCUAUAACGUCAUAGAAGCAACUUCAAGGGAUUAAACACUGAUUUUCAUACCUUUCUAUAGGUCAACAUUCAAGCAAUGCUA
rnacentral:lncRNA from 1 species